AUGAUGAUUUAGAUUGAAUUUGUUUAUGGUUUUUUAACUGAACAAAUCAUGUAGAUAGCAUUCUAGGGCGGUCUGAUUCA